rnacentral:rRNA from 1 species
UACGUAGGGAGCAAGCGUUGUCCGGAAUCAUUGGGCGUAAAGCGCGCGUAGGUGGCCUUGCAAGUCCGCUGUGAAAGUCAAAGGCUCAACCUUUGAAAGCCGGUGGAUACUGCAUGGCUAGAGUACGGAAGAGGCGAGUGGAAUUCCUGGUGUAGCGGUGGAAUGCGCAGAUAUCAGGAGGAACACCAAUAGCGAAGGCAGCUCGCUGGGACGUUACUGACACUGAGGCGCGAAAGCGUGGGGAGCGAACAGG